AUUGAACGCUAGCGGCAGGCCUAACACAUGCAAGUCGAGGGGUAGCAGGAUUAAGCUUGCUUAAUUGCUGACGACCGGCGCACGGGUGCGUAACGCGUAUGCAACCUACCUUAUACUGGGGUAUAGCCCGGAGAAAUUCGGAUUAAUCCCCCAUAGUACUAAUGAAUCGCAUGGUUUAUUAGUUAAAGCAUUGCGGUAUAAGAUGGGCAUGCGUCCUAUUAGCUAGAUGGUGAGGUAACGGCUCACCAUGGCUACGAUAGGUAGGGGGCCUGAGAGCGUGGUCCCCCACACUGGUACUGAGACGCGACGCAGAAUCCUACGGGAUGCAGCAGUGGGUAAUAUUGGUCAAUGCGCGCAAGCCUGAACCAGCCAUGCCGCGUGCAGGAAGAAUGCCCUAUGUGUUGUAAACUGCUUUUAUUUGGGAAUAAACCUCUUUACGUGUAGAGAGCUGAAGGUACCAAAUGAAUAAGCACCGGCUAACUCCAUGCCAGCCGCCGCAGUAA
rnacentral:rRNA from 1 species